rnacentral:rRNA from 1 species
UGAGUACGAGCUGCUACGGCAGCGAAGUGGGUGACGUCAAGCUUCCAAGAAAAGCCCUAUACCCGUUAAGGCAUGAUGGCCUGUACCCGAAACCGACACAGGUGGGGUGGUAGAGAAUACCGAGGGGCGCGAGAUAACUCUCUCUAAGGAACUCGGCAAAAUGGCCCCGUAACUUCGGGAGAAGGGGUGCCACCGCAAGGUGGUCGCAGUGAAGAGGCCCAGGCGACUGUUUACCAAAAACACAGGUCUCCGCUAAGUCGCAAGACGAUGUAUGGGGGCUGACGCCUGCCCAGUGCCGGAAGGUUAAGGAAGCUGGUCAGCGUAAGCGAAGCUAGCGACUGAAGCCCCGGUGAACGGCGGCCGUAACAAUAACGGUCCUAAGGUAGCGAAAUUCCUUGUCGGGUAAGUUCCGACCCGCACGAAAGGCGUAACGAUCUGGGCGCUGUCUCGGAGAGAGGCUCGGCGAAAUAGAAUUGUCUGUGAAGAUGCGGACUACGUGCACCCGGACAGAAAGACCCUAUGAAGCUUUACUGUAGCUUGGUAUUGUGCUCGGGCUCGGAAUGCGCAGGAUAGGUGGGAGGCUAUGAACCAUUGCUUGUGGGUGAUGGUGAGCCACUGGUGAGAUACCACUCUUUCCGAGCUAGAGUUCUAACAGCCACCCGUUAUCCGGGGGCUGGACAGUAUCAGGUGGGCAGUUUGACUGGGGCGGUCGCCUCCUAAAAGGUAACGGAGGCGCGCAAAGGUUUGCUCAGGCUGGUUGGAAAUCAGCCGACGAGUGUAAAAGCAGAAGCAAGCUUGACUGUGAGACCUACAAGUCGAACAGGGAGGAAACUCGGCUUUAGUGAUCCGACGGUUCUGCGUGGAAGGGCCGUCGCUCAACGGAUAAAAGUUACUCUAGGAUAACAGGCUGAUCUCCCCCAAGAGUUCACAUCGACGGGGAGGUUUGGCACCUCGAUGUCGGCUCAUCGCAACCUGGGGCUGAAGUCGGUCCCAAGGGUUGGGCUGUUCGCCCAUUAAAGCGGUACGCGAGCUGGGUUCAGAACGUCGUGAGACAGUUCGGUCCAUAUCCGGUGCAUGCGCAGGAAUAUUGAGAGGAUUUCUCCCUAGUACGAGAGGACCGGGAGGAACGCACCUCUGGUGUACCAGUUAUCGUGCCAACGGUAAACGCUGGGUAGCCAUGUGCGGAGAGGAUAACCGCUGAAAGCAUCUAAGUGGGAAGCCCACCUCAAGAUGAGUAUUCCCAUGGGUUAACCCAGUAAGGUCACGGGAAGAACACCCGUUGAUAGGCUCUACGUGGAAGCGCAGUAAUGUGUGAAGCGGAGGAGUACUAAUAGACC